rnacentral:rRNA from 1 species
CGGUAACCAAUCCCAGAAACCCUAUCUCAGUCCGGAUUGGAGUCUGCAACUCGUACUCCCUAUGAAGUCGGAAUCGCUAGUAAUCGCUAGUAUCUAGCAUUGCUGCGGUGAAUACGUUCCCGGGCCUUGUACACACCGCCCGUCACACCAUGGGAGUUUGUUGCACCAGUAAGCAGGUAGCUUAACCUUCGGGAGGGCGCUUGCCACGGUGUGGCCGAUGACUGGGGUGAAGUCGUAACAAUGGUAGC